rnacentral:rRNA from 1 species
GAUGAACGCUAGCGGCAGGCCUAACACAUGCAAGUCGAGGGGUAGAACACUUCGGUGUUUGAGACCGGCGCACGGGUGCGUAACGCGUAUGCAAUCUACCUUGUACAGGGGAAUAGCCCAGAGAAAUUUGGAUUAAUGCCCCAUAGUAUAUAACCUUCGCAUGUUGGUUAUAUUAAAGUUCCAACGGUACAAGAUGAGCAUGCGUCCCAUUAGUUAGUUGGUAAGGUAACGGCUUACCAAGACGAUGAUGGGUAGGGGUCCUGAGAGGGAGAUCCCCCACACUGGUACUGAGACACGGACCAGACUCCUACGGGAGGCAGCAGUGAGGAAUAUUGGUCAAUGGUCGCAAGACUGAACCAGCCAUGCCGCGUGCAGGAAGACGGUCCUAUGGAUUGUAAACUGCUUUUAUACAGGAAGAAACCCUCCCACGUGUGGGAGCUUGACGGUACUGUAGGAAUAAGGAUCGGCUAACUCCGUGCCAGCAGCCGCGGUAAUAGUGU